UACGUAGGGGGCUAGCGUUGUCCGGAUUUAUUGGGCGUAAAGAGCGUGUAGGCGGCUUGGCAAGUCCGCUGUGAAAACUCGAGGCUCAACCUCGAGACGUCGGUGGAAACUGCCUCGCUAGAGUCCGGAAGAGGGAGAGUGGAAUUCCUGGUGUAGCGGUGAAAUGCGCAGAUAUCAGGAAGAACACCCGUGGCUAAGGCGGCUCUCUAGUACGGUACUGACGCUGAGACGCGAAAGCGUGGGGAGCGAACAGG
rnacentral:rRNA from 1 species